rnacentral:rRNA from 1 species
AGAUUGAACGCUGGCGGCAGGCUUAACACAUGCAAGUCGAGCGGUAGCAGGUCCUUCGGGAUGCUGACGAGCGGCGGACGGGUGAGUAAUACAUAGGAAACUGCCCAGUAGUGGGGGAUAGCCCGGGGGAAACCCGGAUUAAUACCGCAUACGCCCUUUGGGGGAAAGCAGGGGAUCUUCGGACCUUGCGCUAUUGGAUGUGCCUAUGUCGGAUUAGCUAGUUGGUGGGGUAAAGCCUA